UAACUCCGGUUGAUCCUGCCGGACCCCACUGCUAUCGGGAUAGGACUAAGACAUGCUAGUCGUGCGCUUCCUAGCCACGAAGGGAGCGCGGCGCACAGCUCAGUAGCACGUGGCUAACCUGCCCUUGGGACGGGAACAACCCCGGGAAACUGGGGCUAAUUCCUGAUAGGUGAAGAACUCUGGAAUGAGUCUUUGCCGAAAGGGCGUUUACGUCAUGCUCGUAGGCGCUGCCCAAGGAUGGGGCCGCGGCCGAUCAGGUUGUUGGUGGGGUAACGGCUCACCAAGCCUAUAACCGGUGCGGGCCGUGAGAGCGGGAGCCCGGAGAUGGGCACUGAGACAAGGGCCCAGGCCCUACGGGGCGCAGCAGUCGCGAAACCUUUGCAAUACACGAAAGUGUGACAGGGCUAUCCCGAGUGCCGUCCGCUGAGGAUGGCUUUUACCCAGUAUAGCAAGCUGGGGGAAUAAGGAGAGGGCAAGUCUGGUGUCAGCCGCCGCGGUAAUACCAGCUCUCCGAGUGGUGGGGACGUUUAUUGGGCCUAAAGCAUCCGUAGCUGGCCGUUCAAGUCCCCUGUUAAACCCAGCGAUUUAAUCGUUGGUCUGCGGGGGAUACUGUUCGGCUAGGGGGCGGGAGAGGCAGACGGUAUUUCCGGGGUAGGGGUGAAAUCCUAUAAUCCCGGGAAGACCACCAGUGGCGAAGGCUGUCUGCUAGAACGCGCCCGACGGUGAGGGAUGAAAGCUGGGGGAGCGAACCGGAUUAGAUACCCGGGUAGUCCCAGCUGUAAACUAUGCAGGCUAGGUGUUUGAGCGGCCACGCGCCGCUCUAGUGCCG
rnacentral:rRNA from 1 species